CCCAGGGAUUGAGGGAUGGGAGGCCAGUGGGCAAGAGCCCAGGCAUAUUAGCCCUUACAGCUGAAACCACCAUAAACUGGCAACAGCAGCUAACCCCAAACAUGCACUAUAGUUCGGCCUCCAUUGGCAAAGGCAAUCCCCGGACCUGCAGCUGAUCACAGAGGCCCAGGAAUACUAAAGAAGUGGUGUUUCCCUCUCAGGGCGUCUGUCACAUGCAGAGGCAUCUGAUGUCAGUGUGUCCCUCGUUAAGGACAUUAACUCAGAUUACGUGGACUUUCCCUCCUUCGUUUUCGCACCUGUCGGCGACUCCUGCAUGAGUCAACCAUGAUGUUACGAUGGUGAGACCGUUUUCUUCACCAAGCAUCUGCCAUUCCUGGCUGUUGGUCAGACAUGACAAAUCAAGUCUCAACAGUUUAAGCAGAAGAUAUAAUUAUGAAGAGGGCAGGGCUGGUGAGAUGAGGAAGUCAGCAACCCCUGGCAAGGAAUGUUUGGAAGGCUUUAAAAAAUGAUAAUUUU